rnacentral:snRNA from 1 species
ACUUGACAGCAGGUGAGUUUUAGGAAUACACAGAAGAUUAGCAUGGUCCCUGAGCAAGAAGGAUGAGCGGAUUUCCGAAGUAUUCCAUACUGUU